UCUAUAGGCACAGCCUUCUGGCAAAAAGAUGGCUCAGUAACUGUCCCUAACCAGGAUGCACUCCGUCCCACGCAAACCCUUUAGCCUAACCAAGCAGGCUGCCAGCCAAGCCUCACGUUUGCUUCUCUUUCUGCUGGAUCAAAGCAGAGAUAAAUCAGCCACAAAGCCCCAUGUGACUCUCAGUCUAAGCAGUAAAUUGCCUCCCUCCAGUUUAUGUUUUGUUUGAAUUUCUAAGGGACACUAAACAAUUAUGGCUUUGGACAUAUGAGAGGAUUUAAGGCACAGAGCUUUGACAGCUACUCCUGUGUACUGUCCAAAAGCAGAAUAAUUUCUACCCAAUCUGCAAGGCAUAAACCAUAGAAACAUAAAUCAGGUUCCUUUAUUUCUCCCAAAGGGAUUACAAGAUCUUCCUCAGCACACAUUUCUUCAUCAGUACUGAGAACAGUUUUCAACACAGAUUAUCCUCCAGUUGCAGAAGGUCUGCAUCAUUUCUCCACCUGCCUUCGUGGGCAAAGUAUGGAAGUGACUCAGUUAUGAGAAAAAAAACCCUGCAGCCACUUCCCUUACAGUGAAUCAGAAGUCAUCUUUUCCUCCUCCAUAAUAUACACAAUUCCUACGCAGCCCCUCUCAAAAUAGGGGUGAGAUCACAGAUUCAACUUCUGGAUUCUGCUAGUAGUGAGAAACGUUUGAAAUUUACCC